AUCUAAAUAGCUUAAUUAAGAGAGCAUAACAUUGAAGCUGUUAAGGUGGUAAUGACUUUUAGGUA
rnacentral:tRNA from 1 species